rnacentral:rRNA from 2 species
UUUAAAUUGAGAGUUUGAUCCUGGCUCAGGAUGAACGCUGGCGGCGUGCCUAAUACAUGCAAGUCGAACGAAACUUCUUUAUCACCGAGUGCUUGCACUCACCGAUAAAGAGUUGAGUGGCGAACGGGUGAGUAACACGUGGGCAACCUGCCCAAAAGAGGGGGAUAACACUUGGAAACAGGUGCUAAUACCGCAUAAUCAUAGUUACCGCAUGGUAACUAUGUAAAAGGUGGCUAUGCUACCGCUUUUGGAUGGGCCCGCGGCGCAUUAGCUAGUUGGUGAGGUAAAGGCUUACCAAGGCAAUGAUGCGUAGCCGAACUGAGAGGUUGAUCGGCCACAUUGGGACUGAGACACGGCCCAAACUCCUACGGGAGGCAGCAGUAGGGAAUCUUCCACAAUGGGCGAAAGCCUGAUGGAGCAACGCCGCGUGGGUGAAGAA